GGACCUGUGUUCCACGCUGUCGGUUCGCCGCCCGUCGGUGUCAACUGGCAUGUCCUGUGGAACGUCCUGCCGGUGGCGGUCCGGGCUUUCGGCUUGCGUAAGGGCUCACGCCCGAAGCAGGUCGGACAGUUCCGGCCGCCGGUCCAAUCCCGCCACGGUGCUCUUCACCGAGUGUCGAGGUGGGCCGGCACGUUUACUUUGAACAAAUUAGAGUGCUUAAAGCAGGCUGGUGUCCGCCUGAAUACUGUGUGCAUGGAAUAAUAGAAUAGGACCUCGGUUCUAUUUUGUUGGUUUUCGGAACCCGAGGUAAUGAUUAAUAGGGACAGGCGGGGGCAUUCGUAUUGCGACGUUAGAGGUGAAAUUCUUGGAUCGUCGCAAGACGAACCUAAGCGAAAGCAUUUGCCAAGUAUGUUCUCGUUAAUCAAGAACGAAAGUUAGAGGUUCGAAGGCGAUCAGAUACCGCCCUAGUUCUAACCAUAAACGAUGCCAGCCAGCGAUCCGCCGAAGUUCCUCCGAUGACUCGGCGGGCAGCUUCCGGGAAACCAAAGCUUUUGGGUUCCGGGGGAAGUAUGGUUGCAAAGCUGAAACUUAAAGGAAUUGACGGAAGGGCACCACCAGGAGUGGAGCCUGCGGCUUAAUUUGACUCAACACGGGAAACCUCACCAGGCCCGGACACCGGAAGGAUUGACAGAUUGAGAGCUCUUUCUUGAUUCGGUGGGUGGUGGUGCAUGGCCGUUCUUAGUUGGUGGAGCGAUUUGUCUGGUUAAUUCCGAUAACGAACGAGACUCUAGCCUGCUAACUAGGCGAUUCCGGUACCCACAAUAGUGUUACCGGCGAUUCAAUUUCUUCUUAGAGGGACAGGCGGCUCCUAGCCGCACGAGACUGAGCAAUAACAGGUCUGUGAUGCCCUUAGAUGUCCUGGGCCGCACGCGCGCUACACUGAAGGAAUCAGCGUGUCUUCCCUGGCCGACAGGCCCGGGUAACCCGUUGAACCUCCUUCGUGCUAGGGAUUGGGGCUUGCAAUUGUUCCCCAUGAACGAGGAAUUCCCAGUAAGCGCGAGUCAUAAGCUCGCGUUGAUUACGUCCCUGCCCUUUGUACACACCGCCCGUCGCUACUACCGAUUGAAUGAUUUAGUGAGGUCUUCGGACUGGUGCGCGGCGAUCGGUUUAUACUGCCGGCCGCCGAUGUUGCCGGAAAGAUGACCAAACUUGAUCAUUUAGAGGAAGUAAAAGUCGUAACAAGGUUUCC
rnacentral:rRNA from 1 species